GCACCGAGAUCGGGAGCCGCGUUUACCGGGGCCGCCGGCAGCGCAACGGUGCCCUGCCGAGGGUCGUCCCGCCCGGCUGAGCAUUCACCCGUGCAAAGAGACAAAUCCUUCCUUCCCGGUGAAACUGAAGGCAGCUCUGCUGUUAAUGUGUGUGCAGUGAGACAGGGGUGAAGGUUUCAGCCCCAAACCACCGCGUGCGAUGGGUUCAGCAGGGAAGGAGCCGACCUCCUCCUUGAGCACUGAAAUGCUCUCAGGUAUCUCUCCUAGCGUGACAGCCUUCAGCCAGCAAGCUGCAAGGUGCUUGCCGUCUUGCAAGGCUACCUCUGACAUCCUGGGCAAACUUUUAACUGCUUUCAAGACCACUCAGCAGGAAGGAGACUCUGAUAUUUUGUUUUCUGCAUCUCAGAAGAUCCAAAUUUCCUCAUAUGCACUGAAUAAAUGCCAUUUCUCUCUGCCAUGUUCUGCUUCGUACAGAGCAGCAAAGCCAAACCGCAGACAAACUGAUAUGAGGUGAUGAAUCCUUCAUCCAAAAUGAAGAAUCUGCCCAGUGACAAAUGGAGACAGAGAUUUUCAGCGGGGCUGGCAGGCCAAGAUGAUGAAGCUCCUGUAUUUCCGUAAUUGUGGGGUCACUGUUAUCCGGGACCGGCCCACUGAAAAUGCUGCUUGUGAAUUCGCUCUUCUCCUAGAAAAGAAAAGGAUGACUGCACUAACAAACAGGCAGAUGUUACCAGUAGGAGUGAUAUCAUGGGAGGAUCACAAGGGCGAAAUGGGACAAUGACUUCUUGGUCUGCAUCUCAGCAUCCUCUCCUCCUCUCUCCUCCAAUCACCACCACAAAGCAGAUUACAGUGAGAUGUGGAGAACAGACAGAAGAGCUGCACAUCUCCAUGUUUACAUGGACACCUCGAGGUCAGCUUGAUUUGGUUCUACUGCAUGAAAUUUAUAUCGAGACAAGGUCUAAAGAUCAAGCUAAGCUGGGCUCCGGUGCACAGUGCAAAUGGGAGGACAAGGAUUCUCUGAGUUCUACAUCCCCUAGGGCUGAACUCUUUUCUUGUCCAUAUUUCUCACACCUACAGAGUGAUUUUCCAUCUGAGUAUUUGUAAGUGGAAAAAAAGCUGGGAUGCAGUGGUGCAGUUACCUGGAAGGACUUUAUCACCCUGCUGUUUUCCAUGUGGGGGAAAUCUUCAAGCAGCCAUUUUGGCAAGACCAGAGCCACUGCUGCCUUAGUUCUUCAUCAAAAAAAGAGAGAGAAAACAAGAGUUAGUCUAUUUUGUUGUCACUCACUUGUCCAUUCUGGAUGAAAUCGUCCCCAGGGGUGGUGGGGGAACUCCAAGCGUGUUGAUCACUCAUGGCCUUUGUGGAAGGCUCGGAAGCAUUGGGUUUACAGACCCUUGUUCAGGUUUACCCUCAGUUCUGAUGCCUGCAGGAAGAACGCCUGCAUUUAAAGCUGGAGGCAGUGAAGCACCAGGCUGAGCACCGAGGGCCCUUUCCUGUGCAGAUGGGAGCUGUAGGCAAGUAAUUCUAAGAAGUGUGGUCAUUGUGUUUAACCAUUUCCCACGCAGAGGUACCUUCCAGAAAUGCUCAAGUGAAUUUUUCAGUUCACGUCGGUUUUGUUUUGUUUUAAAUACUGAAACAGAUCAUAGCAUAAUCUUCACCAGAACGCAUGCAGAACACAAUUGCAGUUAGAAAAAUAGAUGGGAAAAGUUUAAGCAAGUCUUUGGCUCAGAUUGUAAGGGCAGAAGUCGGUCACUGUUAGGCUACUGCGUCUGCUAACAUUCCUUCUCAUAGGCUGGAUGUGGCUCUGGGCAGCCUGGUCUGCUGGUUGGUGACCCUGCACAUAACAGGAGGUUAAAACUAGAUGAGCACUGUGGUCCUUUUCAACCCAGAUCAUUCUGUGAUUCUAUGAUCUUUUAUUUUCCUUAUUUUCUUACCUCCAAUUUUCUGGAAUGUACAUUUUAUUACAUGUCUCAUAAGAAAACAAAGCUUAAAUUGCAGGAUGAUGCAUGUUCUGCUCACUCUGCUCACUACUUUCUCAAUAUGUGGCUUACUUUCCCGUCAAGUGAAAAUCUCUUUUCUGGCUCUGACCUCUCAAAAAUAUGUGGAGUUUUUUCCUUUCCUAAAUCUCCAGAUGCCACACUUGCUGCUCUGGCCAAAACUUUUCUGCUCAAGCAGAAACUCUCGCUUACCAAGACUGAAAUACUCUGCUCUUACCAUGCGAAGCCUCCUGGUAGAUGAUGUCCAACAUCCUGUCCUCUGAAGAAACUGCAGCAGAGAGAGGAAAAAAUGCCCAUCACUUCAUUUACAGAAGUAAAGUGGAUGAAGUAGAAGUUACUGUUUAUUUUAUUCAUAUUAUUUAGAAAAAAUGGCUUCCAGAAACAUCAUGCCCCUCUGCAAGAACCACAGGCUGAUCGUGCUUAGGCUGACUGGCUUUGAUAAGAACACAGCUAACAUCCUCAUCUGCAGUCUUAGAGCUGACAGAGACAAUUCAGAACACCCAGCACCACGUCCUGAGCUCAUAGGCUGCUUGAACAUACCUGGUAACUUCUACAAGAGUCACUGAUCGGUGAGUUUGGACUUAUUUGGAUGAAAAGGAGUGAAAACCAUUUGGAAUUCACAGUACUUUCAUGGUGGCCAAUGCACUGAGCUUGUCCAGGCCUGGCAAAGCCAUGCAGGCACGGAGGAGAAACACCCAUCAGAAUUCUGCUUUGCACCAGCUCUGCAAGGACCAGCACAAACCCACAGGGAAAGCCUUCACUGCUUUGUAAAGCUAUCUGUGUGCAGUUCUCCCUUCCAAACUCUGCCUACAUGGUACUGUACCAGAGAGGUAUGCAGCAAUGUCAGCCCUGGUGUCCAACUGUAUUUCAUGUCACCAAGUUGGCACUGGGCUUUGACCUGAGCUGACCUGGCUAAUGUUGCAGCUGUUUCAGCAAAGCUAUAAUGCAAUUCACUAGCAAAAAUCAGGGGCAAGAAACCAUGGAAAAGGUCUUUAAUUUUGUAGAUUUGAGACAAAUGCUUUUCCUAGCAAGUACUUCAAUUCCCUCACGCAGAGCAGCUUAGAGGAAGAGCACACUCAGCUCUGCAUUACAAAGCAGCCCUUGGUUAUAUGGAAUUGUGGAAGGAAAGUGCCUGAGCCAACAACUCAGCAGCACUGGAAUGAAGCACUUGUGGAGGACGGUGUCACACUGGCACAUUUAGCUGUGGAACAGCUCUGGGGCUGCUGGGAGGUGUCUUCUGCACUCAGCUUUUGGGCUGUGCAAGGCUUGUCCUGGCUUAGGAAAGGGCCAUCAGGAUGUCCAGCUCUUGAGGGCAGUCACAGCCUACACACAUUGCUGGAGACGAGAAAUAGAUUGUUCUUACUGUCUCUUUUAAUUGGCCCAUGCCCUAUUUAAUAUUAAAUACUUUCCAGAACUGAAGCCUGCCUACAUCCAGCUCCAGGUGAGAUGAGGCUGGCUGCAGCUUGGCCGGUUCUCUGUCAAAGUUGGGUUUGUUUUGUCUUUACUUUAACAACUGCCAAACAGGGAAAGCAGCAACCUCAUCUGCUCUGUCCCAAAAAGGGAGAAUGACUCCAGUGAUGUAUUUUGUAGAGUAACAUGCAAUUCUCAGGUGUGCUGUUAGAGAUCUGUGCAUGAUAGCAAGGAGUAUCAGCUAGAAGAGGCUUUCAUAGAGGUGUGUUAAAGUCUGCAGUGUGUCCUGCAGCCAUAAGAUUUCCUUCUAGACCUUGCUUUUCUCUCUGGUCCACAGCAGGCUUUUACCUCUUGUUUCUAAAACUACAAAACUGGCAGACUGUGAGGAUACCACCGAGCUGAGCUCUGCAGCUCCACCGCAGCAGGCAGCAACUUCUACACAUGGAGCUUACCUUGGCC